rnacentral:rRNA from 1 species
CGAUGAACCACUUCGGUGGGGAUUAGUGGCGAACGGGUGAGUAACACGUGGGCAAUCUGCCCUGCACUCUGGGACAAGCCCUGGAAACGGGGUCUAAUACCGGAUACUGAUUGUCUUGGGCAUCCUUGAUGAUCGAAAGCUCCGGCGGUGCAGGAUGAGCCCGCGGCCUAUCAGCUUGUUGGUGAGGUAACGGCUCACCAAGGCGACGACGGGUAGCCGGCCUGAGAGGGCGACCGGCCACACUGGGACUGAGACACGGCCCAGACUCCUACGGGAGGCAGCAGUGGGGAAUAUUGCACAAUGGGCGCAAGCCUGAUGCAGCGACGCCGCGUGAGGGAUGACGGCCUUCGGGUUGUAAACCUCUUUCAGCAGGGAAGAAGCGAAAGUGACGGUACCUGCAGAAGAAGCGCCGGCUAACUACGUGCCAGCAGCCGCGGUAAUACGUAGGGCGCAAGCGUUGUCCGGAAUUAUUGGGCGUAAAGAGCUCGUAGGCGGCUUGUCGCGUCGGUUGUGAAAGCCCGGGGCUUAACCCCGGGUCUGCAGUCGAUACGGGCAGGCUAGAGUUCGGUAGGGGAGAUCGGAAUUCCUGGUGUAGCGGUGAAAUGCGCAGAUAUCAGG